rnacentral:lncRNA from 1 species
UGUCUCUGCCGCUGAGAUGUUUCCUAGCUGUGCACAGAAUUCACUCUCCUACUGGAGGGCUCUGACUGAAAGCUCUGAUGCGGCAGGCCUUCUCUUGACACUUGGUUAAGGUAUGCCUCUCACAUCUGUAUGCCCACAUCUGCUCUCCUCCCUCCCUCCUUCUCAGCACUUAGCCCUCUGAUAUGGUUUGCUGGCGUCCCCACCCAAAUCUCAUCUUGAAUUGUAGUUCCCAUAAAUCCCCACGUAUUGUUCGAGGUACCCCGUGGGAGAUAAUUGAAUCAUGGGGGUGGUUACCCAGAUGCUGCGGUUCUCGUGUUAGUGAGUUCUCGUGAGAUCUGAUGGUUUUAUAAGGGGCUUUUCCCCCUUUUUCUCGGCACUUCUCCUCGCUGCCGCCACAUGAAGAAGGAUGUGUUUGCUUCCCCUUCUGCCAUGAUUGGAAGUUUCCUGAGACCCCUCCAGCCAUGCUGAACUGUGAGUCAAUCAAACGUCUUUCCUCCAUAAAUUACCCAGUCUCGGGUAUGUCUUUAUUAGCAGUGUGAGAAUGGACUCACACAUUCUCCUAAUGUAGUAUACAUGUGUUUGCUCAUUUGUCACCAUCUCUCCAUCUCUAGUCUCUAGAAUAUGAGAUCUGUAAGAACAGGGACACCUAGAAUACGAGAUCUGUAAGAAUAGGGACAUUGUCUGUAUCAGGUGUUCAUGGCUCAAUCCCAGCACCUGGAACAGCAUGAGGCACCUGGCAGGUGCCUGACAAACAUUUGCAGGGAAUAUGUGUGCAUGAACCUGCAUGGGCAGGAACAGGUGCAUAGGAACAUGGAUUGUGGACGUGCAUGUAUGUGCGUGCAUAUGUAUACCACUAUGUAUACGUAGCUUAUUGUGUCUUUGCAGUGAGGUUUUCAAACCUCUGUCUUGUUUCCAGGAUUUCCUGAAGACACCAUCCCAGUCAAGUGGUCUGCCUCAUACUGAGCCACCAGACCACCCAGCAUGUCCUCACCCGCGUGGACAGAUGACAGGGGGCUCUGAGCAUGCCCCAGUGCACCUUACGCACCUGUGAAGGUUGGGAGCCUGAGUGCAGCUCCUGUGGCACUGCCCGUGGCCAGGGAGAUGCCUCCUCAGUGCUCCUGACCCUCGGUGGAGGACCGGCCAGCGUGUGUGCCGACAGUGUGUCCACACAGGUGUGCUGCGCCCAAUGGGCAAGUCGGAAACAAAGGAAAAUGCUCUCUGAAGGAAAAGGCAAAGCAAUUUGGAUUUCUGCGAGAAAAUGAGACUGCAUGUGGCACUGUAAAUACCCUUGCUGCUGAACUUCUCGCUCCCCCCAGAUACACCCUUCAUAUUGACAUGUCUAGAACCUUAAACUGAACCAAGUUGAAAAGUGAGAUUAAUUAGGGCUGAGUUAACAGUUAACACAUACAAUGAAAUAUUGAAUAAGGCUUACUGAGCAAACAAGAAUAUACAGAAGUGGAGGAGACAAAGAGGAUAUUAAAAAUGCAGACAGUGAUGAGGCAGAUAGCUGGGACAAAUAAUGAAAAAUAGUAAAGGAGAUAAGGCAGAUAUUGGAGGAGCAAAGAGUCUCUGAAAUAGAUAUCGGUAUUGAAAGAUGCUAAACACGCUUCUAAAGAGACUUUCUAGCCGACACAGGGAGCUCACUGAUGGAUGAAGUAGAAACAUUUUUAAAUGGAAUCAAACAGGGCAAAGCGGGAGAAGAAAAAGAAGUAGGUAAACCAGUAAAUUAACUUUUCUCGUGUGUGCUGUGUACUAUUUGUGAGUGAGCAAUGAACGCUGUGGCUCCCUGGAGGGGCUGUGGUGGGAAGUUUCACUGCGAUCAAGUAGAGGUGGUGCCUUUGGACCUCUUCUCCUGAACCUGCAGGGAGAGGCGCAGAAUAUUCACAAGGUGAAGAUGCAACAAUUCAAAUGAGUGUCCAGGUUUUCAGGGUGGUUGCUAAACCCCAAAAGACCGAUAGCUUCGGGCAAAAGACUGCAGAAAGAACAGCUUUACAUUUUUACGGAAGCAAUGGGAAAUAUACCCUGUAAGCCUUGAAAAAUUCCCGAAGGGAUUAGGUUCCUCAUGGUAGCUGUGCAGGAAGGGUGCAGAGUGGCCUGAGGGGCUAUUGGGAAAGUCCACCUUGGGUUGAGGGAUCUGGGAGGGCUCCCUGGAGGAGGUGGUGUUGGACUACAGCGAUGGGAACAUAAAGGAGCUGGAGAGAGAUUUGGGUGCCAGUCAGCACAAGAAAGGCCCACACAGAGAAAGUCAGGCUGGGGCGAGAGUGAGCCCCCCAAGCUGAGAGCUCAGCCUGAGAGCAUGGGAAGCCAUCCAGGAGCUGAGAAGCCAGGCUGGGUCUGACCCCACUGAUUCAGAUCCCUCUGUGGCCUUGGGAAAGGCCAGAGACAGGGCCGCAGGUGGGGGCUUUGGUGAAGGGAGCGAGAGUGUGAGCCAGUGCCACGUAGAGAGGACAGACGCAGGGAUGCCAGCCAGGGUGCCGUCGGCCAAGAAAGGAAGGUCCAGCAGGCACAGUGUCAGAGGAGGGUCCCAGAGGAAGGCACUGGGAACAGUCCUGGCUUCUUACCUCGGCCACUAGGCAGAUGGUGAUGCUCUGAGGGUGCUGAGGCCACAGGGUGGGAGGGAGGAGGAGGAGCCUCCCUCUGCAAGCUCUGUUACAGGGGGUAUGCAUCAGUGGCUCCCCACCGCCCUCUGGAGGAAGCCCGGAGCACAGAGCACUUGAGGCUCCUGGGUGUCCCUGGUCCGUGCUCCACUAAGUAGCUCCCCUGUUCCCCACCUAAUCUCCAUGGCUGGGCGUUCUGAAUCCACGCUUCCAGCUCCCAGACGGUUCACAGGCUCCCGGCCCAGGCCAUGUGUGCGUGCUGUCUCCCUGUGGGAGCAGGCUCCUGUCCUAGCCCCACACACCUGCUCAUAGCUCUGCCCUCAGGUCAAAGGCCCCUUCCAGGGUCAGGGUCCCAACGGGGAACCCCAAUUCUGGGCUCUGCAAAUGCCUCCCAGCGUUACCCCUCAAAAUGUCACUGUCUGAGGGUCUUGACCUCUGGCUUGUGAGCUCACAGAGGGCAGCGCCCUUGCACUCACCUUCCUGUUGACCUGCAGGGCCAAGCAUUGUGCCGGACAUAGGGGUGAACAGGCACAUGCUUCCCACCUGUCAGGGAGAUUCUUGCUCUCCUGGCUCUGCCCCACCCCUGGGGGCUCUGCCAGCUCCUCGGAACCCUGAGUCCAGGGCAGGGCACGGUCUCAGGUCUUAGCCUGAUGACGUAGUACAGGCUCUAGGCCCCAGGAGGGACAUGGCACUUCCUGCAUCGACUCUGUCACUGGUCUCCCCAGGGCUUCCCUCCCCAAGCCUCAGGGGCUGUGGGGUACCCCAUCCUCUCCACAGAACACGUGCACAGGCCUCCAGGAGAUGGUUAAUAGAACGGAGAGGUUUUAGGGAAGUUUAUUUCUAUAGCUCUUACAUUUAUUUAUAUUUGUCAAAUAUGUUCCCAUCACUAAAAUCUCUUUGGAGCAUUUUCAAAAAUUAAAGAAUUGCGUCUAAAAAUACUGACCUUGAUGUUCAGUGUGCAUGGGUAACUCUCCAGGCCCAGCAACAUCAAGAGGCAGAUGUGACAGCAGCCGUGGCUGCUCAGGGGGCCGGGAAUGCGGGAAAGGGGUGGCUGUCAAACAGUCUUGACAAGCGGCUGAAUGUGACUGUGUCGGAUUUGGAAAGUGCAGCCUGAGAAUUUGAAAUCCAUUCACUCCCCACCCCCAAGCGUUUUUUCAUGUAUUCGUUCAUUCAGCACACCUUGAAUGAACACUCUUUUAUUUGCUACCUAUUCAGGGACACUACACAGGCCCGUGACCAUCACACGCCCAGCCUGGCCCCGUGCUGUGCCUGAGCAGAGGACUGUUGGCAGAUGGUUCACUUCCACCCUCCAUGAUAAAUGCUGAGAAAAGAAAGAUCAAGGGCUUCAGAGCCCACUGGAGGGAAUUCAUACAGCCGGGGGCCCAGGAAGCUGCUAAGGAAACUGCCUGGACGGCAGGGUGGCCGUGACCACGGGGACGGGGAGAAGGACCCAGAGGAGCUGAGGAAUCCUUGCUGUGGAAGGCACCAUAUGAGCUGCGUGAAGUCAGAGUCAAAAGCAAACCCGUCUCUUCUUGACAGUGGGACCCAGGAGGCAGGACAACCUGCCAGAGAGGCUGAAGGAGGUUCCCUCAGGCUGGAUCCUCGACAAGAAAAAGGAAGAGGGUCUGCCUGAUUCCCUCGCCAACAACAGCUGGUCUUCCAGAAGUCAGCAAUCUCUUGUCCCUUGUCUUCAAAAGCCCAUGGAGCUGGAGGCAGGCAGCUGAGGUCAGGAAGAGAAGGUGCGACCCAGUCCAGGAAGGCUGAGUCCUCGUGAACCCUCAGGGCUGGGGUGAGGGGCCAGUGCCCGGCCCAGACACCAGCACAGCCCUGCAGUGGGAGUUGAUCUCAGCAGAUGGACGGGCACCGCCCAGAGGAUGGACUGGUCAGCACCGCCCGGAGGAUGGACCGCUCAGCACCGCAGUGGCCGCUUGGCCUAAUUUGCCACCUGAAGAGCCGCCAGGUCUCCAGUGACUCUAGCACCAUGGACAGGAGAGGAGCAGGGUGACCUGAGGGUACAGAGAAGGUUCUGCUGUAAUCAAGUUCCCCUGCCUGGUCAGAGGGCUCAGAGGUUUGAGAGGGGAGGGAUUUCCUUUUAAAGCUGCAGGAUCCCUGUGGGUCCAGAAAGAAACACAGCCAUGGCGGGCAUCCCAUGGAGGGUAGUGACCAGGAGCAGGACAAAGGUGGAAGGUGGGUGGAGCCCCCACAUGGGCCUCAGGUCACAUUGGACAUUUCCUCAGCAAGUGUCACCUGGGUGGUGACGAAUGGGGGAGGAGAACAGAUGGAAUGCGGAGAGUAGCAGUGUGAAGCUGCACCGCCUGGUCACCACUCGAGAUACACAGGGUUUGCUCUGCCUGAGGAGCACACGCUGGCUGCAGACACGGGGCAACCACGUGAGAAAGGUCAGACCCAGGCCCACUCGCCUUCCAUAUGCAUCUUAGGGACGGGGAUGCCUGCGCCAGCAGCAGCCUUGCUGCCCCUGCGUCCCCCAGUGCACCUGCCAGGGCAAAGCCAACAGGCAGUGCCAAGGACCUGAGGGAGGAGGUGGGCUUGACUUCGAGGCAGGGCACAGACACCAGACCACGUGGAGGAGCAGCUGAAACAGGGCCGGUGGCAGCAGCCGCCUGUGAGACGUGCCAGCCGGUGAGCCUUGUUAGUUUACCAUUGCCACGGCAAGACCCAGAAGUUACUGCCACUUCCCACGGUAAAAUCCCAAUGACCCUGAGGUUUCUGCUCCUUUUCUAGAAAUUUCUGCAUAAACCAACCCCUAAUUAGCAUGUAGUUAAAAGUGGGUGUAAUUAUGAUGCGGAGCUGCCUCUGAGCUGCUCUUCUGUGCACUCUGCUGUCCUGGGGCAGCCCCUCUGCUGCCGCU